AUUAGUACAUUCAGUUCAAUUCAGUACUCUAACAAUAUGAUGUCAGUUUGGAUAGAUGCUCAGUAUGAUGUUCAGUUUGGAUAGCUGUUUGGCUUAUAGUACUAAUCUAUAUCAAUUAAUGUUUAAGGAUUAGAUCAUGCUUUUUUUUCUGAAGUCUGCUAGAUGAUGACUAGGCUGACAAGUGGGAGUACUUGAUUUUCUUUGAAAGAAUAUGAAAAAACUAUGUACUAUUUCUCGAAGACAUGAGCCUCAUUGUGGUGCUCUUCAAGCUGUGCUUUUUGUUAUUUUUUGAAGACAAAAUUGAGAGUGCAGUCUUUUGUAUCUUCAAUAUCAAAAUGAUUAUCAUUCUGAUUCUACUCCACACUGAUUUAUAAACAUUUGUCAUUUUAUCUUAAUUGUGGGUUUGCAGUUUGCAUAAAGCAUGCGAAGGAGGGAAAGAACCCAUGGAGUUGCACACAAUGGAGGAGCUGUCUCAACAUUCGAAUAUGAAUAUUAUGGUUGUUGAUCAUGCCAGUUUGGCACUUGUGACAAACUGUUGAUUUGCUGUUAAGGGUCUUCUAUGUCCAGCCCUUUUGGCACUUGAAAGAGUGUUGUCUGUCCUUUGGCACUUGAAACUGUUAAUUUGCUAUGCUGUUAAGCCCCUUGGGCACUUGUGACAAACUGUAUAUUGGUGCUAGCUGUUUUUAUUCCAGCUCAAACCAAAUGCACUUUUUUUGAACAGCUGACUAGCUGUUUUCAUUCCAGCUCAAACCGAUGUACUUUUUUUGAAGAGCUGGAUUAAGAAAAGGUGUGGAUUCAAACCACAUGUGGUUUCAGAUUUUUAGUGAA
rnacentral:lncRNA from 1 species